rnacentral:rRNA from 1 species
CACGUAGGGUGCGAGCGUUGUCCGGAAUUAUUGGGCGUAAAGAGCUCGUAGGCGGUGUGUCGCGUCGGCCGUGAAAACCUGCAGCUUAACUGUGGGCUUGCGGUCGAUACGGGCAUCACUGGAGUUCGGCAGGGGAGACUGGAAUUCUCGGUGUAGCGGUGAAAUGCGUAGAUAUCGAGAGGAACACCUGCGGCGAAGGCGGGUUGCUGGGCUGACACUGACGCUGAUGCGGCGAAAGCCAGGGGAGCGAACGGG